CACAAAGCAGGGGUUUCAUUAUCUUUCAUGUUGACUGGUACUUUCCACGUUUCUAGGUGGUACUUUUCAAUUUAUUCCAUGAAUAUCUUAUAUAAAAAUUCCUACAUUUAGGCGGUACUUGUCAAUAGCAUAGGAGGGUAAAAGUACCGGGUACCGCCUCCUAAUGAAUGGCCUGACAAAGUGUCUUUUUGAUUCCUAGAUACCACAGUGUGGUAAUAGUAUACCACACAAAGUGUCUUUUUGAUUCAUAGAUACCACAGUGUGGUAAUAGUAUACCACACAAAGUGUCUUUUUGAUUCAUAGAUACCACAGUGUGGUAAUAGCAUACCAC
rnacentral:lncRNA from 1 species